GUAGGCCCAGGCAAACGGGACCAGCCGUCCUCGAACACCUGCAUUUCCAGCAAACGGCAGGAUACUCCACACGCACUGGACGUGUGGAUGAGCGACAGUCCCGAAGGGCAGGGACCACUCUGUCUCCUCUCUUUGGCCCACACCUCCUACCCCAGGAUUUUCUUGUGUGGGGAACACUGUCGGUGUUCCUUCCAUAAGGCGCUCGGGGGGUUCAGUCAGUUUGCUCCUCACCUGCAAAAGGAAAACCCACGGGUAUUUUACGUAGCCGUGCGUCGGCUACGUGCUGGGUGCAGUGACAGACCCUGGGACCCGCAGAGCAGAUCUCACCACCCCUGUCUUCUCGGAGCCCAGCGCUAGUUGGGGAGACAGGCACACCUAGGAAUAAAUACCAGGUCAUUAGAAAACGAGAGAGGAGAACAGAGAUGGAGGAAGAUGGAGAAGAGAGAGACACCAGUGUCUGAGCUGGACAUAAAUGGUGGGAGAGGACCUGGAACAGGAGGAAAGCAACAACUCCAGCACAACCCUGGCGACAGAAGACAGUACAGGGAACGUCAGGAAGGAAUUGUCCGGCUGGACCCAAGUGAGGGAAAGAAGGCUGGAAAGGGAAGCCGCAAACCUCUCAGAAAGGGCCCUGAAGUUUCGGGGGUGGCUCGAUCAUAAUGUUGGAGGGGACGUGGCACUGCUUGUGGAGGGGACAUGCCCUUGACUCACCUGGAGUCACCUGCCGACAGCUUCCUGGGACUCUGCCUGAGGGUGAUGUCUGGCUCCAGGUGAGUUCCUGAAUUCCCCAGGGGGGAGGGGGAGACCCUUGACCCCUGAGGGGCGGGAGCUGGUGACUGAAUGCCCCCCCACCCCUGGCUGCCCCCUCCAUAGGACGAUCCUGAGGCACGUGGUGCCCAGCUUUCAGAGGGUCCCUAGCAAGACUGAGCCCCCAAACUCAGCUGCUCACUGAUGCAUUCUUCACUGGCUUCCUAGGGUCCUCACAGACACCCCAGGGUCCCCUCCUGACCACUUGCACCCAAAUCGUUGGGGAAUCCAAGUGAAGACGGUCAAAAUUCCUAGGUCCCUGAGACCGACUCCGUCAGGAAGGAGAAGAGGCAUCGUGGAAGAGGUGGGAGAAGUCGCCCAAGGUGGAGCUGCGGAAGCCAUGGGGAAGAGCGGGUGUCUCUCGCUAUAAAGGUUGAGACACUCCAGACGUAAGGAUCUAUGGAGACACUUUCAGGUACUUACUUAGUUGUCCAAACUGCAUUUCAGAGAGGAUUGAAACCCACUUUUAUGCACACAUAUAUAGCACUCGUGGCAGUUGGGAUUACCCUGUGCCUUAUGAAGUGACACUGUCCCAUUGCAGGGGCUUGGUCCAUUCAGCCUCCUGUUGUGCACUCUGGGGCUCACUGUUGCCGCGGCUGGUUUGUCUGGAACCCUCUGCCCAGACCAAAGCCAUCCUCUGGUCUCUGUUGGGCGCCUGAGAGUAAAUUUCAUGUACUAGGUUUUUAUCUUUUUUUUUUCUUAUUGAUUUGUAGGAAUUCUUUAUAUAUGAUAGACCUCAACUCUUUGUCAAUUAUGCACUCUGCAAAUCUUUUCCUAAACUGAGAUGCGUCUUUCAUUUUUGUUUUCAAUAUUUAUGUAUUACAAUAAUUUACAUCUUUUAUGUAUUCGGAGUUUUAGAUUUUAAUUUAGUCACAUUUGUCAAUAUUUUCCUUUAACAUUGAUGCCUUUUGUAUCUUGUUUCGGAAAAACUUUCUAUGGCCAAUUCUGUUGGUGGCCUCCAAUAUCCAAUCUAGUUUUCUUCCUUUAUAAUGGAAUUUCAGUUUUUUAGCUAGACGUAACUAAAAGAUUACAUUUCCUAGUCUCCUUUUCAGCUGGCCAUUAGACUGACCUCUGGCCAAUGAAAUGUGAAUGAAACUGCUCUGUGGGACUUACACGACAUUUCUCUUCCUCACCUUUCUCAUUCUGCCAUCCAGAAGGCAAAUGUGAGUGGGGUGCCUAGCUGGCUCAGUUGGUAGAACAUGAGACUGUAUCUCUGGGUCUUGAGUUCAAGUCCCACAUUGAGUGUGGAGCCUACUUAAUUAAAAAACAAAUUUUUUUUUUUUUUUUUAAUUUCGGAAGGCAAAUGUAAUGGCUGGAGCUCCCACAGUCAUCUUGGAUAUUGAGGUAAUCUCAAUAUGAAAACAACAUGCUGAGGAUAGAAGGGCAUUGUUAUUUAUUUAUUUAUUUAUUUAUUUUAACAUUCAUUUAUUUAUGUUGAGAGAGAACACAAGUCAGGGGCAGAGAAAAAAGGAGAGAAGCCCAAGCAGGCUCUGUGCUGUGAGCGCAGAGCCAGACACAGGGCUCAAACCUGUGUGGGGCACUUGGGUGGCUCAGUCGGUUAAGUAUCCAACUUUGGCUCAGGUCACGAUCUCACAGUUCAUGGGUUCGAGCCCCACGCCGGUCUCUGGUCUCUGUGCUGACAGCUCAGAGCCUGGAGCCUGCUUCGGAUUCUGUGUCUCCCUCUGUCUCUGCCCCUCCCCACUCACACUCUGUCUCUCUCUCUCUCUC